GACGAACGCUGGCGGCGUGCUUAACACAUGCAAGUCGAACGGAAAGGCCUGCUUUCCCUUGUGGAUUGCGGGUACUCGAGUGGCGAACGGGUGAGUAACACGUGAGUGAUCUGCCCCCAACUUGUGUAUAAGCCUGGGAAACUGGGUCUAAUUCCCGAUAGGACUGCAGGGUGGUGCCUGUGGUGGAAAACGAUUUUCUAGUGGUUGGGGAUGAGCUCGCGGCCUAUCAGCUUGUUGGUGGGGUAAUGGCCUACCAAGGCGGCGACGGGUAGCCGGCCUGAGAGGGUGGACGGCAACAUUGGGACUGAGAUACGGCCCAGACGCCUACGGGAGGCAGCAGUGGGGAAGAUUGCACAAUGGGCGGAAGCCUGAUGCAGCGACGCCGCGUGGGGGAUGACGGGCUUCGGGUUGUAAACUCCUUUCGACCGCGAGGAAGCCACCUGGUUGGAAGGGUGGUGACGGUAGUGGUAGAAGAAGCACCGGCUAACUACGUG
rnacentral:rRNA from 1 species